AGUGAACGCUGGCGGUAGGCCUAACACAUGCAAGUCGAACGGCAGCACAGUAGGAGCUUGCUCUUACGGGUGGCGAGUGGCGGACGGGUGAGGAAUACAUCGGAAUCUACUUUUUCGUGGGGGAUAACGUAGGGAAACUUACGCUAAUACCGCAUACGACCUACGGGUGAAAGCAGGGGAUCUUCGGACCUUGCGCGAUUGAAUGAGCCGAUGUCGGAUUAGCUAGUUGGCGGGGUAAAGGCCCACCAAGGCGACGAUCCGUAGCUGGUCUGAGAGGAUGAUCAGCCACACUGGAACUGAGACACGGUCUAGACUCCUACGGGAGGCAGCGGUGGGGAAUAUUGGACAAUGGGCGCAAGCCUGAUCCAGCCAUACCGCGUGGGUGAAGAAGGCCUUCGGGUUGUAAAGCCCUUUUGUUGGGAAAGAAAAGCAGCAGGUUAAUACCCCGCUGUUCUGACGGUACCCAAAGAAUAAGCACCGGCUAACUUCGUG
rnacentral:rRNA from 1 species